GCAGAGGAAGUUUACAAAAGAAAAAAUGCUUUUAAUGAAAACAAGAUCAACAUUUUUGGAGUUACAUCACUAGAUAUUGUUAGAGCCAACACAUUUGUAUCUGAAUUGAAGGGACUAGAUGUGGACAAAAUAAAUGUCCCCGUUAUUGGAGGUCACAGUGGGGUCACAAUUAUUCCUCUGCUCUCCCAGGCCACACCAGCAGUGUCAUUCCCACAGGAGGAAAGAAAAAAGUUAACAGAAAGAAUACAGAAUGCUGGAACUGAGGUUGUAGAGGCUAAGGCUGGAGCUGGAUCAGCAACCCUAUCAAUGGCAUUUGCAGCAGCCAGGUUUGCUUACAAAAUGCUUGAUGCCUUGAAUGGUGCUGACAACAGAGUGGAAUGUGCAUAUGUUAGAUCAACAGAAACUCCUGCUGCCUAUUUUGCUACCCCACUACUGCUUGGAAAAAAUGGUGUGGAGAAGAAUCUAGGAAUUCCUAAAACAAUUGAAUAUGAAGCACAAUUAAUAGAAAAUGCCAUGCCCGAACUACAAAGCAACAUUAAAAAGGGAAUUGAAUUCAUGAGCAAGUAGAAAUGAAUUACACUAUGUGUAAUCAUGAAACUGUUGACCAACCUCGUAACAUCAGCAUCUGAAUCUGAAAACAUGUCAUGCCAAGUGGAUAGUGCUAUGAACUCCCUUCUCCACUCAUGGCAAUUACAAAAUUUGCAAGAGGAAUUUUUUUUAUUUUCUGUGUAUGAGGAACUUUAAUUCUCAAACAUUGAUUGUAGAAUUAUGUUUUAUAGAGUUUUGAAUGAAAGCUAUUGUUAC
rnacentral:misc_RNA from 1 species